CGGCGGCUUGGGCUCGUCGGACAGGCUGGUGCGUUGCUGGUGCAGGAAGGUGGUCACCUGGUGCCACGCCGGUUCGUUGCCGACGCUGACGUC
rnacentral:tRNA from 1 species